UCCCUGGUGGUCCAGCAGAUAAAACUGCACUCUCAAUGCAGGGGGCCUGGGUUCAAUCCCUAGUCAGGGAG
rnacentral:tRNA from 1 species